ensembl:lncRNA
GGUUUCUAUAAUGCUAGUGUUAGGGUUUGGCUAGGGUUACUAUUAUGCAAGUGUUUGGGUUUGGCUAGGAUUACUAUAAUGCUAAUGUUAGGAUUUUGUCUACGGUUACUAUUAUGCUAGUGUUAUGUUUGGGCAAGGGUUACUAUUAUGCUUGGGUUAGGGUUGGGCUAGGGCUACUAUAAUGCAAUGGUUAGGGUUUGGCUAGAGUUACUAUUAUGAUACUGUUAGGGUUGGUCUAGGGUUACUAUUGUGCUAUAGUUAAGGUUUGGCCAGGGUUACUAUAAUGCGAGUGUUAGGAUUUGGCUAGUUUUACUAAUGUGCUAGUUAGGGUUGGGCUAGUGUUACUAUUAUGCUAGUUUUAGGGUUGGUCUAGGGUUACUAAUGUGCUAGAGUUAGGGUUUGGCUAGGGUUACCAUAAUGCGUGUGUUAGUUUUGGGAUGGGUUUACUAUUAUGUUAGAGUUAGGGUUGGGCUAGGGCUACUAUAAUGCAAUGCGUAGGGUUUGGCUAGGGUUACUAUUAUGCUAGGGUUAAGGUUGAUCUAAGUUUACAAUUAUGCUAGGGUUACUACUGUGCUAGAGAUACGGUUUGGCUAGGGUUACUAUAAUACUAGUGUUAGGGUUGCGCUAUUGUUACUAUUGUUCUAAUGUCAGGUGUUGGCUAGGGUAACUCAAAAGCGAUGGUUUGGGUUUGGCUAGUGUUUCUAUUUUGAUAGUGUUAGGGUUGGUCUAGGGUUACUGUAAUGCGAGUGCUAUGGUUUGAUAGGGUUACUUUAAUGUAAGUGUAAGGAUUUGGCUAGGUUUACUAUUAUGCUAGUGUUAGUGUUGGGUUAAGUUAACUAUUAUAACAGGGUUAGGGUUUGGGUAGGGUUACUGUUUUUGUAGUUUUAGGGUUUGGCUAGGGUUAGUAUAAUAAGACCGUUGGGGUUUGGCUAGGGCUACUAUAAUGCGAGUGUUAGGGUUUGGCUUGGGUUACUAUUAUGCUAAUGUUAUGGUUGGGCAAGGGUUACUAUUAUGCUAGGGUUAGUGUUACGCUCGGGUUACUAUUAUGAUAGUGUUAGGGUUGGUCUUUGGUUACUAUUGUACUAUAGUUAAGGUUUGGCCAGGGUUACUAUAAUGUGAGUGUUAGGGUUUGGCCAGGGUUACUAUUAUGCUAGUGUUAGGGUCUGGCUAGGGUUACUAUAAUGCGAGUGGUAGGGUUUGGCUAGGGUUACUUAAUGCAAUCAAGCACAGUAAUAUCAUGGUCAGCAAACCAGUUACUCAUAGUUUUGGCACUGUGGACAGGUGCUAAGUCUUGCUGGAAAAGAAAAUCAGCAUCUCCUUAAAGCUUGUCCGCAGUUGGAAGGAUGAAGUGCUCUAAAGUCUCCUGGUAGAUAGCUGCAUUGACUCUUUACUUGAGAAAACCCAGUGGACCAACACCAGCAGAUAACAUGGCACCCCAAAUAAUCACUGACUGUGGAAACUUCUCACUGGACUUCGAUUCUGUGACUCUCCACUCUUCCUCCAGACUCUGGGACCUCGAUUUCCAAAUGAAAUGCAAAUUUACUUUCAUCUUCCCCACAAUUGUGUUUGUG